rnacentral:lncRNA from 1 species
CAGCAGCAGCAUCAGCAGCAUCCAGGACCUGCAGCAGAGUCAGUACAACAUCUCCCAAGCUGAGAAAAACACCAGGCUUGACAGUAGACAGCAACAAAACCCAGUCUGGAGUGCACACUGUCUUCCACCCUCCAUUCCAGCACCCCGUGACCUGUGAUACAAAAGAAAGUCCUGCCCUGCCUUGUGUGUUUGCCUCUAAGCAGACAAUAUUGAGAACAUGUACGGUGCAUCUCUGACUCGUACCUUUUGCUGGCAAACUACAGUGGAGAGACUUUAUCCUGCAAGAUUAAAAAAUACCCAAAUUUGGACAGUAGAAUUGUCGAGUGAUGCUUAGUUAGUUGUAAUCCCAAGCUCUUCCCCCAAAGCCAGUUUCCGG